UAGAAUCACCACGUGAGCCCUUAAUUCUUUCCUUUUCUUGCACACACAUGGCAAUAAGCUUUUCAAUGCCCCACUUGUCUGGAUGUAAGUUGUAAUUAACAACAAAAGCCUCAAACUUCUUGAGUAGGGAGGCAAAGAUCAAAUGGACUACAAACUCAUCUUUGAGCUCCAUGUCCAUAGGCUUGAUCUUGGAUGCCAUGUUACUCAUCCUCAAUAUGUACUCCCUUA
rnacentral:lncRNA from 1 species